CGCUUGGCUUCUGGACGUGGUCAGCGGAUUUAUACGAGACAGAAUGAAUAAUUCAAGGCAAUGUUAUUUGACUUUGCAUGUGGCUUGCUUAUGGAAGGACAGUGCUUCACCUCCCAAGUGUGUAUCAUUUCCGUAGUAGGAGUCACACUCUACAUGAACUACAAGUGUGAAGGCCUAGACUCCCUGGGAACUCCGAGGAAAAUCUUCCCGCGAUGGGACCCAAAGAGAGAAAGGCAGAGCAGAGAAAGGCAGCCAGCGGCACAGUUUGGUGACA